rnacentral:rRNA from 1 species
CUUUGGAGCAGCAUUGUGAGCGGCCCGGAUCCUGCCUGUCCUCCUAUUGUCAGUUGGUUUGCCGCGAGGACCAGGGUAAUGAUUAAUAGGGAUAGUUGGGGGCAUUAAUAUUUAAUUGUCAGAGGUGAAAUUCUUGGAUUUAUGAAAGAUUAACUUCUGCGAAAGCAUCUGCCAAGGAUGUUUUCAUUAAUCAAGAACGAAAGUUAGGGGAUCGAAGACGAUCAGAUACCGUCGUAGUCUUAACCAUAAACGAUGCCGACCAGCGAUUAGGAGACGUUGAAUACAAAACACCACCAUGCGCAUUGCGGUCGUCUUUGGUGUCGCUCACAAGGCGGCACCGGGGCGGCUUAGCUCGCAUGGCACCGGUGAAUGACUCCCUAGCAGCUUGUGAGAA